rnacentral:pre_miRNA from 9 species
UCUCGAUAGCGUUAAAGUUAACUCAAAGUUGUAUGGAGUUGGAACGUUUGCCUACGUUUGCCGCUAGGGGCGCUGUUCCAACGGCGUACUUUGAGUUAACUUUUACGUGAUCGA